GAUACUAUGAAUAAAAAUUUCGCUGCAAUUGUAUGCUCUUUAGUGAAAAUUACAGUUUAAUUUUCAAUAACGUUGCUGAUAUUUACAUCGUUUGUAGAAUAAGGUGUAGUAGCGCACAGUCCAAAUUCAAAAAUCAUCAUUCAGUUCAGAAUUCAGAUUGAAAUUCAAGAUUCAAAUUUAGAAUUAAAAUCUUGAAUUCACAAUUAUGAAUGCAAUUUGAAAUUCACGAUUCAUAAUGUACAUAUUAAUAAACUAAGAUUUACAUGUGGGAUGCCAUAACGACCGAUUUGAACGAGUAAUUACUCGAAGCAUCUAUAAGCCAUUAGGACGCCCCUCGGCGAUAAGUCAAAACUUAUGUAAGACCCUUCACACACACCGACACGCAGUUGUCAUUCAUCGUCGCGUCGGAAUCCAUCGCGGGUCGGCAUCAACCAAUGUCAUCGUGGUGCAGAGCGAACGGGAAACCCUUAGGCGCCGUGUCUGUAAAACGUCGGGUUCCGUUUCCGGUUCUAUUUCUGCGGGGAAAUACUCUUCGUUUCGAGUUUUACAGUGUCCUGGAGAUUCAGGUAACAAACGCGUCUUUCGUGCGAACAACCUCGCGGGCCAAACCAGUGUGCAUAAUGAUGCUAAGAUACUCCGCUCGAAUGUACGUUUGAUUGUAACAUUCAUUAUUGUGUAACAUCCGGAUGAUUCCCACAGGAAAUUACAUUCUAAGCCGCACAUAACGGACGUAAUUUUACGCUGACAACGGUGGACAGUCUUCCGGUAAUUGUUCCGGAUAAGUGAAUUCAAAUUUUGUGACAUGUUCGUUCAACAACACAAAGGAGGAAAACGAGACUCAUUAGACGGACGGCAAGGGUGUCAGCUGUCUUGGAUCGCUACGUGUUGCUUGUGUCCGAUGAUGACCAAAUCGUAAGUUUCUUCCCAAAUUGAUCCACUGAAUACGAAAGCCAAAAUUAAGAUUUUUUGUGUUAUGACCAUAUUUUAAAUUAGUGCAGUUUCUUCCCCGUACACAUUUUCGACAAUUUUAUAAGGGUUAUUACUAUUCAUAUUUGUUAAUGACCCCGGGUUAUUACUAUUCAAAUUUGUUAAUGUCAUCGUGGUGCGGAGCGAACGGGAAACCCUUAGGCGCCGUGUCUGUAAAAUUUCGGGUUCUUUUUCCGGUUCUAUUUCUGCGGGGAAAUACUCUUCGUUUCGAGUUUUACAGUGUCCUGGAGAUUCAGGUAACAAACGCGUCUUCCGUGCGAACAACCUCCCGGGCCAAACCAGUGUGCAUAAUGGUGCUAAGAUACUCCGCUCGAAUGUACGUUUGAUUGUAACAUUCAUUAUUGUGUAACAUCCGGACGAUUCCCACAGGAAAUUACAUUCUAAGCCGCACAAUAACGGACGUAAUUUUACGCUGACAACGGUGGACAUUCAAUUAUGACGUGCGUUCUUACAGUCUUCUGGUAAUUGUUCCGGAUAAGUGAAUUCAAAUUUUGUUACAUAUUCGUUCAACAACACAAAGAAGGAAAACGUACAAGGGUGCAAGGGUGUCAGCUGUCUUGAAUCGCUACGUGUUGCCUGUGUCCGAUGAUGACCAAAUCGUAAGUUCUUCCAAAUUGAUUCACUGAAUACGAAAGCCAAAAUUAAGAUUUUUUGUGUUAUGACCAUAUAUUAAAAUUUCGCUGAAAUUGUAUGCUCUUUAGUGAAAAUUAUAGCUUAAUUUUCAUUAACGUUGCUGAUAUUUACAUCGUUUAUAGAAUUAGAUGUAGUAGUGCACAGUCCAAAUUCAAAAACCAUCAUUCAGUUCAGAAUUCAGAUUGAAAUUCAAGAUUCAAAUUUAGAAUUAAAAUCUUGAAUUCACAAUAAUGAAUGCAAUUUGAAAUUCACGAUUCAUAAUGUACAUAUUAUUAAACUAAGAUUUACAUGUGGGAUGCCAUAACGACCGAUUUGAACGAGUAAUUACUCGAAGCAUCUAUAAGCCAUUAGGACGCCCCUCGGCGAUAAGUCAAAACUUAUGUAAGACCCUUCACACACACCGACACGCACUUGUCAUUCAUCGUCGCGUCGGAAUCCAUCGCGGGUCGGCAUCAACCAAUGUCAUCGUGGUGCGGAGCGAACGGGAAACCCUUAGGCGCCGUGUCUGUAAAACGUCGGGUUCCGUUUCCGGUUCUAUUUCUGCGGGGAAAUACUCUUCGUUUCGAGUUUUACAGUGUCCUGGAGAUUCAGGUAACAAACGCGUCUUUCGUGCGAACAACCUCGCGGGUCAAACCAGUGUGCAUAAUGAUGCUAAGAUACUCCGCUCGAAUGUACGUUUGAUUGUAACAUUCAUUAUUGUGUAACAUCCGGAUGAUUCCCACAGGAAAUUACAUUCUAAGCCGCACAUAACGGACGUAAUUUUACGCUGACAACGGUGGACAGUCUUCCGGUAAUUGUUCCGGAUAAGUGAAUUCAAAUUUUGUGACAUGUUCGUUCAACAACACAAAGCAGGAAAACGAGACUCAUUAGACGGACGGCAAGGGUGUCAGCUGUCUUGGAUCGCUACGUGUUGCUUGUGUCCGAUGAUGACCAAAUCUCUUCUGGUAAUUGUUCCGGAUAAGUGAAUUCAAAUUUUGUGACAUAUUCGUUCAACAACACAAAGGAGGAAAACGUACAAGGGUGCAAGGGUGUCAGCUGUCUUGAAUCGCUACGUGUUGCCUGUGUCCGAUGAUGACCAAAUCGCUGGCAGCCUCCAUUUAUUUCACUUCGAAUUGGCGCUGAAAGUUGUCUACAUUUUAUUCUUGUAAAUAACGGUGAAAUAGAUACAAAAAGAAAAGUACCAGUGCGUGGAAAGUCGAUUGUUGGUGCCUUAACUAUUGUUGGUGCCUUAACUAUUGUUGGUGCCUUAACUAUUGUUGGUGCGUAUAAGGUACGUACAUUAACUUUUUAUUAUGCAACAAUCCGAUUUAUUUUUUUUGAUUUUAGUUGAGUUAUUUAGUUAAAAUAUAAGGGUUUGAGGUCCAGAUUCGAUUUCUGAUUAAACUUCUGAUUAACUUGUUUUUAAUGAACUACGUUCAAAUCAUUGAGGCGCUAGGAUCAGAGUUGCUGACUUCGAAACACCCGGCCUCUUAGGUUUUUUUUUCGUUUUUCAUAAUUGCCAUAACACCUUCUAAGACUUAUUUAGGAUUGGGGGCAAGUGCAAACGCAAUACUUUUUCCAAACUAAUUCACAGAUGAGUCAGUAUAUCGGUCCUAAAAUGAAUUGAAUACAUGUUCCGGUAUGUUUUAUCAACUUUUAUUUAUAUAUUUGCUGUUUUCUUGCAAUAUUGAUAACUUUUUGGAACUCCAUUUUUGGUGACUGUUGUUUUAAGCAAAAGACCUUCAUUUACUAAGGCAUUGCGGAACUAUGAACAUUCGCUUCAGAUACAACACUUUGGAUACCCCUUCUGACCAUUUUAAUAUAAUGCUGAACUAUUUUGGUGAUGAAUUUUCUGAAAUGGCUGAUGUUACAUGGCUUAAAGGUGCGUUUGCACUUACCCUGGUAGUGUCGUUUGCACUUGCCCCGCAGUGUGGUUUAACAAGAGCGAAUAUUACGUUCACAACUUUCGGGGUUUACUAAAAAUUUAUCAUAAAUGUUCUGCUUUCACUUGAAUAUCGUUCUCAAACACUCACAUUUUAACGAAAAAUCGGAUUUGAAUGCCCUUUUUUGUAGCCAAAAUAUGCAAAACAAAAACACACUGUUCAUGUCUAGUACGUACUUGAAUUCGUGUGUGAUCAAACAAUGCCGUGUUUUUAGUGAAAAAUUUAAAGAAAGUUUAGUUUAUCUAUGUCAGAUUGUUUGUUUGGGUCUAAACAACAUUUUCUAGAAGAAGAAAUAUUUUUUACUUUUUUUUGUAACACAGAAAAUUUGAACGUUUGCACUUGCCCCGGUGUACCUUAUAUUGAUCAGAGAAGCUUUUGCUUGCGGGAAUAUAGAGGCUAUUUUGUACGGCUCGGAAGUCAAGCUUUUUGCAGUCCGGAUUUAUAAUGUUUCGGACAGAUAUCACAUGUUCGGCAAUGUUGCGGGCAGUAAACUGACACUGUACAGCGAUCACUUAUGCAACAUGUUGCCUUAUUGUGAGUACACAUGAAAAUCACUUAAUACUUCGGGGCGAAUGAUACAUGUUUGCCCCUGUGUUCACUUUUUGUCACUGCUACCCCUUUCCUUAGUCUGGGAAUUAGAAUUCGGGUGGCUGGUGGUAGGAGUUACAGCGUCAGGCUGUUUUGUUGGUUCUGGGGCAGCCGAACUCUCAUUUUGAAACUUGAACAGUAGCUAUUUCAAUCAUGUGGGUCGACGAUGCAAUAAUACAGAAUAUUGAAGCCUUUAUCAGUAGCUAUUUCAACCAUGUGGGUCGACGAUGCAAUAAUACAGAAUAUUAAGUGAAAUUCUCAGCUUUUCAAAUUUUGUGUUAUUCGACGUAAUGAAAGCUCACGAGAGCAUUGCUUUUAUUCCAAAUAUCUCGAAAAGGUAUGAAUAUUUUUAACGUUUUACAUUUACAACAAAUAGUCUAGUCAAAUCCAUGGUAUUUUUAUUGGAGAUUUUUAUGUGUUUUGAAUAUUCGAAAACAUGAUAAAAUAAUCAAAUUUUUGAAUUUUUGGAAAUAAGCUGUUAUUUCUACAGAUUUCGAAAUCUCGUUCAAUUUUAUUUAGCCUCAAUCAAUCACAAUCGUCUUCCUGCAUCUUAAAAGGUACACCGGGGUAUUUGGGGACGAUGAAUGUUUGAACAUCACGGGGCACUAUUUUUCAAAUUUUUAAUUUAGAAUGUUUAAUUCAUUUUUAAUCUAUCUAAUAACUGUGAAACGGAUACGAUUACGACAAUAACGGGUGUUUUCAGCGAUUUUUGGUUUACUUUUAAUUAUAACUGAUAUGUCGAGAUGAUGUGCAUCAUUUUCAAUUGCAUUUUUAAUCUAGCGGGUUCUUGGCGACAAACUUUACAUUGAAACAAUCCUAUCAUUCAGAAGAUAGAGAAAAUCUACCAUCCCUACUUACCUUAUAAAGCAGAGUAAGUGAAGAAACCAGCGGUUCAUUAGUUCUAGUGAUAACUUUCGCGAGUUGUGUCAACACUGGACCUAGCAGAGGGACGACAAAUUCUAGGAAAAAUGAGAUAACUUAUCUCGAUCAUACUUAUAUCUUCUGUAUUAGUAUACAACAUAUUCUGCAUCAAAUUGAUCGUAGUUUUGUCUAAAUAGAUCCACUGUUGAUUUUCUUAAAAGAUUUAAGUUGUACUAUAUGAAAAACCGUCCUAC